UACGUAGGGUGCAAGCGUUAAUCGGAAUUACUGGGCGUAGAGCGUGUGUAGGCGGACCUUUAAGUAGAAAGUGAAAGGUUGGUGCUCAACACCAACAUUGCUCUCUAUACUGGAGGUCUUGAGUGUCGGAGAGGAAGAUGGAACUGCACGUGUAGCGGUGAAAUGCGUUGAGAUGUGCAGGAACACCAAUGGCGAAGGCAAUCUUCUGGACGAAAACUGACGCUGAGACACGAAAGCCAAGGUAGCAAACAGG
rnacentral:rRNA from 1 species